UGGGGGAUAUUGCACAAUGGGCGAAAGCCUGAUGCAGCGACGCCGCGUGGGGGAUGAAGGCCUUCGGGUUGUAAACCUCUGUCAGAAGGGAAGAAACCGCACUGUGCUAAUCAGCAGUGCCUUGACGGUACCUUCAAAGGAAGCACCGGCUAACUCCGUGCCAGCAGCCGCGGUAAUACGGAGGGUGCAAGCGUUAAUCGGAAUUACUGGGCGUAAAGCGCACGUAGGCUGCUUUGUAAGUCAGGGGUGAAAUCCCACGGCUCAACCGUGGAACUGCCUUUGAUACUGCUUAGCUUGAAUCCGGGAGAGGGUGGCGGAAUUCCAGGUGUAGGAGUGAAAUCCGUAGAUAUCUGGAGGAACAUCAGUGGCGAAGGCGGCCACCUGGACCGGUAUUGACGCUGAGGUGCGAAAGCGUGGGGAGCAAACAGG
rnacentral:rRNA from 1 species